UUCCGGUUGAUCCUGCCGGACCUGACUGCUAUCGGAUUGGUACUAAGCCAUGCGAGUCGUUGUAGCAAUACAAGGCGGACGGCUCAGUAACACGUAGUCAACCUAACCUAUGGACGUGGAUAACCUCGGGAAACUGAGAAUAAACCGCGAUAGAUCAUUAUGCCUGGAAUGGCUUAUGGUUCAAACAAUUUAUUGCCGUAGGAUGGGACUGCGGCCUAUCAGCUUGUUGGUGAGGUAAUGGCCCACCAAGGCUAUAACAGGUACGGGCUCUGAGAGGAGAAGCCCGGAGAUGGGUACUGAGACACGGACCCAGGCCCUAUGGGGCGCAGCAGGCGAGAAACCUUAGCAAUGUGCGAAAGCACGACUAGGUUAAUCCGAGUGAUUUCUGUUGAAGAAAUCUUUUGUCAGUCGUAAAACCACAGACGAAUAAGGGGUGGGCAAGUCUGGUGUCAGCCGCCGCGGUAAUACCAGCACCUCGAGUGGUCAGGAGGUUUAUUGGGCCUAAAGCAUCCGUAGCCGGCUUUGCAAGUCUCCGGUUAAAUCCAACUGCUCAACAGAUGGGCUGCCGGAGAUACUACAAAGCUAGGGAGCGGGAGAGGCAGACGGUAUUCUGUGGGUAGGGGUAAAAUCCUUUGAUCCAUAGAGGACCACCAGUGGCGAAAGCGGUCUGCCAGAACGCGUUCGACGGUGAGGGAUGAAAGCUGGGGGAGCAAACCGGAUUAGAUACCCGGGUAGUCCCAGCUGUAAACGAUGCAACUCGGUGAUGCAUUGGCUUAUGGCCAAUGCAGUGCCGCAGGAAGCCGUUAAGUUUGCCGCCUGGGAAGUACGGACGCAAGUCUGAAACUUAAAGGA
rnacentral:rRNA from 1 species